GAAUGUGAGGGCAUUCUGGCUGUGACAUCUGUCACCUCAUUGAUCGUCAGGGUUGACUGGACUGAUCUGUUGGCCCACCUGGGUGUUCCCUUCCUCCCUCACUGCUUCAUGUGAGUCCAUCCCAAAGCAGCAUUCUGGGUUGAACAGAAUAACCAUCCCUGCUAGAGGAGGACUGUUCUUCGGUCAAGGUUAUAGGAGUAACUGCACUCCAAACAAGCUUUCAAGACUAAGGACCACUGGAGGCAAUUUCUAGUUUUGUGAGAGAUUUUUAAAAAAAUAUGUACAACAUAUAGCUGUAUAUUGGCAAUAUGUAUUUCUUA
rnacentral:snRNA from 1 species